rnacentral:rRNA from 1 species
CCUACGGGAGGCAGCAGCGAGGAAUAUUGGUCAAUGGACGAGAGUCUGAACCAGCCAAGUAGCGUGAAGGAUGACUGCCCUAUGGGUUGUAAACUUCUUUUAUAUGGGAAUAAAACGUUCCACGUGUGGGAUUUUGUAUGUACCAUAUGAAUAAGGAUCGGCUAACUCCGUGCCAGCAGCCGCGGUAAUACUGAGGAUCCGAGCGUUAUCCGGAUUUAUUGGGUUUAAAGGGAGCGUAGGUGGAUUGUUAAGUCAGUUGUGAAAGUUUGCGGCUCAACCGUAAAAUUGCAGUUGAAACUGGCAGUCUUGAGUACAGUAGAGGUGGGCGGAAUUCGUGGUGUAGCGGUGAAAUGCUUAGAUAUCACGAAGAACUCCGAUUGCGAAGGCAGUUCACUGGACUGCAACUGACACUGAGGCUCGAAAGUGUGGGUAUCAAACAGGAUUAGAUACCCGGGUAGUC